rnacentral:rRNA from 1 species
UACCAGCACCCCGAGUGGUCGGGACGAUUAUUGGGCCUAAAGCAUCCGUAGCCGGUUCUACAAGUCUUCCGUUAAAUCCACCUGCUUAACAGAUGGGCUGCGGAAGAUACUAUAGAGCUAGGAGGCGGGAGAGGCAAGCGGUACUCGAUGGGUAGGGGUAAAAUCCGUUGAUCCAUUGAAGAACACCCGUGGCGAAGGCGGCUCUCUGGUACGGAACUGACGCUGAGACGCGAAAGCGUGGGGAGCGAACAGG